rnacentral:tRNA from 1 species
ACUUAAAUAAUUUAAAUAAAAUAUUGAUUUGUGGAGUCAAAAAUAUGAGUUAAUCAUUUUAAGUU